rnacentral:rRNA from 1 species
UACGUAGGGCGCAAGCGUUGUCCGGAAUUAUUGGGCGUAAAGAGCUCGUAGGCGGCCUGUUGCGUCCGCUGUGAAAUCCCGGGGCUCAACCCCGGGCCUGCAGUGGAUACGGGCUGGCUGGAGGCAGGCAGGGGAGAACGGAAUUCCUGGUGUAGCGGUGAAGUGCGCAGAUAUCAGGAGGAACACCGGUGGCGAAGGCGGUUCUCUGGGCCUGUUCUGACGCUGAGGAGCGAAAGCGUGGGGAGCGAACAGG